GAUGAACGCUGGCGGCGUGCCUAAUACAUGCAAGUCGAGCGAACAGACGAGGAGCUUGCUCCUCUGACGUUAGCGGCGGACGGGUGAGUAACACGUGGAUAACCUACCUAUAAGACUGGGAUAACUUCGGGAAACCGGAGCUAAUACCGGAUAAUAUAUUGAACCGCAUGGUUCAAUAGUGAAAGACGGUUUUGCUGUCACUUAUAGAUGGAUCCGCGCCGCAUUAGCUAGUUGGUAAGGUAACGGCUUACCAAGGCAACGAUGCGUAGCCGACCUGAGAGGGUGAUCGGACAGACUGGCACUGAGACACGGUCCAGACUCCUACGGGAGGCAGCAGUAGGGAAUCUUCCGCGAGGGGCGAGAGCGUGACGGAGCAACGCCGCGUGAGUGAUGAAGGUCUUCGGAUCGUAAAGCUCUGUUAUUAGGGAAGAACAAAUGUGUAAGUAACUAUGCACGUCUUGACGGUACCUGAUCAGAAAGCCACGGCUAACUACGUG
rnacentral:rRNA from 1 species